UGUUACGACUUCACCCCAGUCAUGAAUCACACCGUGGUAAACGCCCUCCCGAAGGUUAAGCUAUCUACUUCUGGUGCAACCCACUCCCAUGGUGUGACGGGCGGUGUGUACAAGGCCCGGGAACGUAUUCACCGCAACAUUCUGAUUUGCGAUUACUAGCGAUUCCGACUUCACGGAGUCGAGUUGCAGACUCCGAUCCGGACUACGACGCGCUUUUUGGGAUUCGCUCACUAUCGCUAGCUUGCAGCCCUCUGUACGCGCCAUUGUAGCACGUGUGUAGCCCUGGCCGUAAGGGCCAUGAUGACUUGACGUCAUCCCCACCUUCCUCCGGUUUAUCACCGGCAGUCUCCCUUGAGUUCCCACCAUUACGUGCUGGCAACAAAGG
rnacentral:rRNA from 1 species